UGACGAAUAGCUAUGCUGAGAGGUAGAAUAGCCACAAGGGGACUGAGACACGGCCCCUACUCCUACGGGAGGCAGCAGUAGGGAAUUUUUCACAAUGGGCGAAAGCCUGAUGGAGCAAUACCGCGUGAAUGAUGAAGGUCUUCGGAUUGUAAAAUUCUUUUAUUAGGGACGAACGGCACUAAGAGGAAAUGCUUAGUGAUUGACUGUACCUAUUGAAUAAGUAACGGCAAACUAUGUGCCAGCAGCCGCGGUAAUACAUAGGUUACAAGCGUUAUCCGGAUUUACUGGGCGUAAAGCGAGCGCAGGCUGAUUAACAAGUCUAGUGUGAAAUGCAGUUGCUUAACAACUGUUUGCAUUGGAAACUGUUAGUCUGGAGUGUGAUAGGGAGUUCUGGAACUCCAUAUGGAGCGGUGGAAUGCGUAGAUAUAUGGAAGAACACCUGUGGCGAAAGCGAGAACUUAGGUCACAACUGACGCUUAGGCUCGAAAGUGUGGGGAGCAAAUAGGAUUAGAUACCCUAGUAGUCCACACCGUAAACGAUGGUUAUUAGUUGUUGGUACGAAGUACUAGUAACGAAGCUAACGCAUUAAAUAACCCGCCUGGGUAGUACAUUCGCAAGAAUGAAACUCAAACGGAAUUGACGGGGACCCGCACAAGUGGUGGAGCAUGUUGUUUAAUUCGUCAGUACACGAAGAACCUUACCAGGGUUUGACAUCCUCGGCAAAGCUAUAGAAAUAUAGUGGAGGUUAACCGAGAGACAGGUGGUGCAUGGUUGUCGUCAGCUCGUGUCGUGAGAUGUUGGGUUAAGUCCCGCAACGAGCGCAACCCCUAUUGUUAGUUACUUUAUCUAACGAGACUGCUAACGCAAGUUAGAGGAAGGUGGGGAUGACGUCAAAUCAUCAUGCCCUUUAUAUCCUGGGCCACAAACGUGCUACAAUGGUUGGUACAAACUGUUGCCAAACUGUAAAGUGGAGCUAAUCAGAAAAAACCAAUCUCAGUUCGGAUUGAGGGCUGAAAUUCGUCCUCAUGAAGUUGGAAUCACUAGUAAUCGCGAAUCAGACAUGUCGCGGUGAAUGCGUUCUCGGGUC
rnacentral:rRNA from 1 species